AGUGAACGCUGGCGGUAGGCCUAACACAUGCAAGUCGAACGGCAGCACAGGAGAGCUUGCUCUCUGGGUGGCGAGUGGCGGACGGGUGAGGAAUACAUCGGAAUCUACUCUGUCGUGGGGAAUAACGUAGGGAAACUUACGCUAAUACCGCAUACGACCUACGGGUGAAAGCAGGGGACCUUCGGGCCUUGCGCGAUUGAAUGAGCCGAUGUCGGAUUAGCUAGUUGGCGGGGUAAAGGCCCACCAAGGCGACGAUCCGUAGGUGGUCUGAGAGGAUGAUCAGCCACACUGGAACUGAGACACGGUCCAGACUCCUACGGGAGGCAGCAGUGGGGAAUAUUGGACAAUGGGCGCAAGCCUGAUCCAGCCAUACCGCGUGGGUGAAGAAGGCCUUCGGGUUGUAAAGCCCUUUUGUUGGGAAAGAAAUCCAGCUGGCUAAUACCCGGUUGGGAUGACGGUACCCAAAGAAUAAGCACCGGCUAACUUCGUGCCAGCAGCCGCCGCCG
rnacentral:rRNA from 1 species